GUGGGGAAUAUUGGACAAUGGGCGAAAGCCUGAUCCAGCCAUGCCGCGUGUGUGAAGAAGGUCUUCGGAUUGUAAAGCACUUUAAGUUGGGAGGAAGGGCAGUAAGCUAAUACCUUGCUGUUUUGACGUUACCGACAGAAUAAGCACCGGCUAACUUCGUGCCAGCAGCCGCGGUAAUACGAAGGGUGCAAGCGUUAAUCGGAAUUACUGGGCGUAAAGCGCGCGUAGGUGGUUUUGUAAGUUGGAGGUGAAAUCCCCGGGCUCAACCUGGGAACUGCCUCCAAAACUGCAUGACUAGAGUACGGUAGAGGGUAGUGGAAUUUCCUGUGUAGCGGUGAAAUGCGUAGAUAUAGGAAGGAACACCAGUGGCGAAGGCGACUACCUGGACUGAUACUGACACUGAGGUGCGAAAGCGUGGGGAGCAAACAGGAUUAGAAACCCGGGUAGUCC
rnacentral:rRNA from 1 species